rnacentral:rRNA from 1 species
ACGGGGGGGGCAAGCGUUGUUCGGAAUUACUGGGCGUAAAGGGCGCGUAGGCGGUUCGCUAAGUUGGAUGUGAAAACUCUGGGCUCAACCCAGAGCCUGCAUCCAAAACUGGCGGGCUAGAGUUCUGGAGGGGGUAGCGGAAUUCCUGGUGUAGCGGUGAAAUGCGUAGAGAUCCGGAAGAACACCGGUGGCGAAGGCGGCCUGCUGGGCAGUUGCUGACGCUGAGGCGCGACAGCGUGGGGAGCAAACAGGA